AUUGAACGCUGGCGGCAUGCCUUACACAUGCAAGUCGAACGGCAGCACGGGGCAACCUGGUGGCGAGUGGCGAACGGGUGAGUAAUGCAUCGGAACGUACCUCUCAGUGGGGGAUAACGUAGCGAAAGUUACGCUAAUACCGCAUAUUCUGUGAGCAGGAAAGCAGGGGAUAGCAAGACCUUGCGCUGAGUGAGCGGCCGAUGUCAGAUUAGCUAGUUGGUGAGGUAAAGGCUCACCAAGGCGACGAUCUGUAGCGGGUCUGAGAGGAUGAUCCGCAACACUGGAACUGAGACACGGUCCAGACUCCUACGGGAGGCAGCAGUGGGGAAUUUUGGACAAUGGGGGCAACCCUGAUCCAGCCAUGCCGCGUGAGUGAAGAAGGCCUUCGGGUUGUAAAGCUCUUUCGGCCGGGAAGAAAUCGCACGGGCUAAUACCCUGUGUGGAUGACGGUACCGGAAUAAGAAGCACCGGCUAACUACGUGCCAGCAGCCGCAGUAACAC
rnacentral:rRNA from 1 species